rnacentral:miRNA from 1 species
GCAGACACAUUCCAGCCAAUCAGCAGCAGACCCUCCCUCCCAGACCCUCCCACCUCCUGGACAGCAUCCAUUGGGAAGCUGCAUUCUUAGUGAGCUGUCCAGGAGGUGGGAGGGUCUGGGAGGGAGGGUCUGCUGCUGAUUGGCUGGAAUGUGUCUG